ACCAGCAGCCAUAUCACCCUGCAACUCACAACAGCCCACUGAAGCUAAGCAGGUGUGAGCCUGGUCAGUACCUGGAUGGGAGUCCUUCCUGGGAAAACCUAAGGUUGCUGCUGGAA
rnacentral:rRNA from 1 species